CGUGAGCGGCAGCACAAGGGAGUUUACUCCUGAGGUGGCGAGCGGCGGACGGGUGAGUAAUGCCUAGGGAUCUGCCCAGUCGAGGGGGAUAACAGUUGGAAACGACUGCUAAUACCGCAUACGCCCUACGGGGGAAAGGAGGGGACCUUUUGGCCUUCCGCGAUUGGAUGAACCUAGGUGGGAUUAGCUAGUUGGUGAGGUAAUGGCUCACCAAGGCGACGAUCCCUAGCUGUUCUGAGAGGAUGAUCAGCCACACUGGGACUGAGACACGGCCCAGACUCCUACGGGAGGCAGCAGUGGGGAAUAUUGCACAAUGGGGGAAACCCUGAUGCAGCCAUGCCGCGUGUGUGAAGAAGGCCUUCGGGUUGUAAAGCACUUUCAGUAGGGAGGAAAGGUUGUAAGUUAAUACCUUGCAGCUGUGACGUUACCUACAGAAGAAGGACCGGCUAACUCCGUGCCAGCAGCCGCGGUAAUACGGAGGGUCCAAGCGUUAAUCGGAAUUACUGGGCGUAAAGCGUGCGCAGGCGGUUUGUUAAGCGAGAUGUGAAAGCCCCGGGCUCAACCUGGGAAUUGCAUUUCGAACUGGCAAACUAGAGUCUUGUAGAGGGGGGUAGAAUUUCAGGUGUAGCGGUGAAAUGUGUAGAGAUCUGGAGGAAUACCGGUGGCGAAGGCGGNCCNCUGGACAAAGACUGACGCUCAGGCACGAAAGCGUGGGGAGCAAACAGGAUUAGAUACCCCUGGUAGUCCACGCCGUAAACGAUGUCUACUCGGAGUUUGGUGUCUUGAACACUGGGCUCUCAAGCUAACGCAUUAAGUAGA
rnacentral:rRNA from 1 species